rnacentral:rRNA from 1 species
CUGCUGCCUCCCGUAGGAGUUUGGGCCGUGUCUCAGCCCAAUGUGGCCGUCCACCCUCUCAGGCCGGCUACUGAUCGUCGCCUUGGUGGGCCGUUACCCCGCCAACAAGCUAAUCAGACGCGGGUCCAUCUUACACCACCGGAGUUUUUCACACAAAUCCAUGCGGCUUCGUGCGCUUAUGCGGUAUUAGCACCUAUUUCUAAGUGUUAUCCCCCAGUGUAAGGCAGGUUACCCACGCGUUACUCACCCGUCCGCCACUAAG